UACGUAGGGUGCAAGCGUUGUUCGGAAUUACUGGGCGUAAAGGGCGCGUAGGCGGUCAGACCAAGUCGAGUGUGAAAUUCCAGGGCUUAACUCUGGCGCGCUCGCUCGAUACUGGUCGGCUAGAGUGUGGAAGAGGAUGCUGGAAUUGCCGGUGUAGCGGUGAAAUGCGUAGAUAUCGGGAGGAACACCAGUGGCGAAGGCGGGCAUCUGGGCCAACACUGACGCUGAGGCGCGAAAGCUAGGGGAGCAAACAGG
rnacentral:rRNA from 1 species